UACGAAGGGGGCUAGCGUUGUUCGGAAUCACUGGGCGUAAAGCGCACGCAGGCGGAUUGAUAAGUCAGGGGUGAAAUCCCGGAGCUCAACUUCGGAAUUGCCUUUGAUACUGUCUAUCUUCGAGUUCGGGAGAGGUUGGCGGAAUUCCUAGUGUAGAGGUGAAAUUCGUAGAUAUUGGGAAGAACACCGGUGGCGAAGGCGGCUCACUGGCUCAUUACUGACGCUCAGGCGCGAUAGCGUGGGGAUCAAACAGG
rnacentral:rRNA from 1 species